rnacentral:rRNA from 1 species
AGUUCGAUCAUGGCUCGGAUUGAACGCUGCGAUGCUUUACACAUGCAAGUCGAACGGCAGCACGGACUUCGGUCUGGUGGCGAGUGGCGAAACUGGGUGAGUAAUGUAUCGGAACGUGCCUAGUAGCGGGGGAUAACUACGCGAAAGCGUAGCUAAUACCGCAUACGCCUUCGGGGGGAAAGCGGGGACCUUCGGGCCUCGCACUAUUAGAGCGGCCGAUAUCGGAUUAGCUAGUUGGUGGGGUAACGGCUCACCAAGGCGACGAUCCGUAGCUGGUUUGAGAGGACGACCAGCCACACUGGGACUGAGACACGGCCCGCAUCUGCCGGCGGCAGCAGUGGGGAAUUUUGGACAAUGGGGAAACCCUGAUCCAGCCAUCCCGCGUGCGAUGAAGGCCUUCGGGUUGUAAAGCACUUUUGGCAGGAAAGAAACGCACGGGAUAAUACCCCGUGCAACUGACGGUACUCUGGCACUGGCUAACUACGUGCCAGCAGCCGCGGUAAUACGUAGGGUGCAAGCGUUAAUCGGAAUUAUUGGGCGUAAAGCGUGCGCAGGCGGUUCGGAAAGAAAGAUGUGAAAUCCCAGAGCUUAACUUUGGAACUGCAUUUUUAACUACCGAGCUAGAGUGUGUCAGAGGGAGGUGGAAUUCCGCGUGUAGCAGUGAAAUGCGUAGAUAUGCGGAGGAACACCGAUGGCGAAGGCAGCCUCCUGGGAUAACACUGACGCUCAUGCACGAAAGCGUGGGGAGCAAACAGGAUUAGAUACCCCUGGUAGUCCACGCCCUAAACGAUGUCAACUAGCUGCCGGGGCCUUCUGGCCCGGUAGCGCAGCUAACGCGUGAAGUUGACCGCCUGGGGAGUACGGGUCGCAAGAUUAAAACCUGAAAGGAAUUGACGGGGACCCGCACAAGCGGUGGAUGAUGUGGAUUAAUUCGAUGCAACGCGAAAACCUUACCUACCUCUGACAUGUCUGGAAUCCCGAAGAGAUUUGGGAGUGCUCGCAAGAGAACCGGAACACAGGUGCUGCAUGGCCGUCGUCAGCUCGUGUCGUGAGAUGUUGGGUUAAGUCCCGCAACGAGCGCAACCCCUUGCCAUUAGUUGCUACGAAAGGGCACUCUAAUGAGACUGCCGGUGACAAACCGGAGGAAGGUGGGGGAUGACGUCAAGUCCUCAUGGCCCUUAUGGGUAGGGUCGUACAUCAUCGUCAUACAAUGGUCGGGACAGAGGGUCGCCAACCCGCGAGGGGGAGCCAAUCCCAGAAACCCGAUCGAAGUCCGGAUCGCAGUCUGCAACUCGACUGCGUAGUCGGGAAUCGCUAGUAAUCGCGGAUCAGCAUGUCGCGGUGAAUACGUUCCCGGGUCUUGUACACACCGCCCGUCACACCAUGGGAGUGGGUUUUACCAGAAAGGGUUAGCCUAACCGUAAGGAGGGCGAUUACCACGGUAGGAUUCAUGACUGGGGUGAAGUCGUAACAAGGUAG